AUGGGCACCAGGCUCCUCUUCUGGGUGGCCUUCUGUCUCCUGGGGGCAGAUCACACAGGAGCUGGAGUCUCCCAGUCCCCCAGUAACAAGGUCACAGAGAAGGGAAAGGAUGUAGAGCUCAGGUGUGAUCCAAUUUCAGGUCAUACUGCCCUUUACUGGUACCGACAGAGCCUGGGGCAGGGCCUGGAGUUUUUAAUUUACUUCCAAGGCAACAGUGCACCAGACAAAUCAGGGCUGCCCAGUGAUCGCUUCUCUGCAGAGAGGACUGGGGGAUCCGUCUCCACUCUGACGAUCCAGCGCACACAGCAGGAGGACUCGGCCGUGUAUCUCUGUGCCAGCAGCUUAGC